rnacentral:rRNA from 2 species
GUGCUUAACACAUGCAAGUCGAACGGGAUCCUGCGGGCUUUGCUUGCGGGUGAGAGUGGCGAACGGGUGAGUAAUGCGUGACCAACCUGCCCCAUGCUCCGGAAUAGCUCCUGGAAACGGGUGGUAAUGCCGGAUGUGCCGGGCUCCUGCAUGGGGGUCCGGGAAAGCUCUGGCGGCGUGCGAUGGGGUCGCGUCCUAUCAGCUUGUUGGCGGGGUGAGGGCCCACCAAGGCUUCGACGGGUAGCCGGCCUGAGAGGGCGACCGGCCACAUUGGGACUGAGAUACGGCCCAGACUCCUACGGGAGGCAGCAGUGGGGAAUAUUGCACAAUGGGCGCAAGCCUGAUGCAGCGACGCCGCGUGCGGGAUGGAGGCCUUCGGGUUGUAAACCGCUUUUGUUUGGGAGCAAGCCCUUCGGGGUGAGUGUACCUUUCGAAUAAGCACCGGCUAACUACGUGCCAGCAGCCGCGGUAAUACGUAGGGUGCGAGCGUUAUCCGGAUUUAUUGGGCGUAAAGGGCUCGUAGGCGGUUCGUCGCGUCCGGUGUGAAAGUCCAUCGCCUAACGGUGGAUCUGCGCCGGGUACCGGCGGGCUGGAGUGCGGUAAGGGGAGACUGGAAUUCCCGGUGUAACGGUGGAAUGUGUAGAUAUCGGGGAAGAACACCAAAUGGCGAAGGCAGGUUCUUUUGGCCC